UACGUAGGGUGCAAGCGUUAAUCGGAAUUACUGGGCGUAAAGCGUGCGCAGGCGGUUUUGUAAGACAGGCGUGAAAUCCCCGGGCUCAACCUGGGAAUGGCGCUUGUGACUGCAAAGCUUGAGUGCGGCAGAGGGGGAUGGAAUUCCGCGUGUAGCAGUGAAAUGCGUAGAUAUGCGGAGGAACACCGAUGGCGAAGGCAAUCCCCUGGGCCUGCACUGACGCUCAGGCACGAAAGCGUGGGGAGCAAACAGG
rnacentral:rRNA from 1 species